UACGGGGGGGGCAAGCGUUGUUCGGAAUUACUGGGCGUAAAGGGCUCGUAGGUGGCCAACUAAGUCGGACGUGAAAUCCCUCGGCUUAACCGGGGAACUGCGUCCGAUACUGGAUGGCUUGAGUUUGGGAGAGGGAUGCGGAAUUCCAGGUGUAGCGGUGAAAUGCGUAGAUAUCUGGAGGAACACCGGUGGCGAAGGCGGCAUCCUGGACCAACACUGACACUGAGGGGCGAAAGCCAGGGGAGCAAACGGG
rnacentral:rRNA from 1 species